rnacentral:rRNA from 1 species
UACGUAGGGUGCGAGCGUUGUCCGGAAUUAUUGGGCGUAAAGCGCGCGCAGGCGGUUUCUUAAGUCUGAUGUGAAAGCCCACGGCUCAACCGUGGAGGGUCAUUGGAAACUGGGAGACUUGAGUGCAGAAGAGAAGAGCGGAAUUCCACGUGUAGCGGUGAAAUGCGUAGAGAUCGGGAGGAACACCAGUGGCGAAGGCGGCCAUCUGGCUCAACAUUGACGCUGAGGCACGAAAGCGUGGGGAGCAAACAGG